UCGAGAAUAAUUCGCAAUGGACGAAAGUCUGACGAUGCGACGCCGCGUGAACGAUGAAGGCCUUCGGGUUGUAACGUUCUGUUGCCUUGGAACAAGAGUAGUCAACUAAUAACUGGCUACAAUGAGGGUACAAGGAGAGGAAGCACCGGCUAAUUCCGUGCCAGCAGCUGCGGUAAUACGGAAGGUGCAAGCGUUAGUCGGAAUUACUGGGCGUAAAGGGUGCGUAGGCGGUGAUAUAAGUCAGUCGUGAAAUUCCGGGGCUCAACCUCGGAGCUGCGAAUGAUACUGUAUUACUUGAGGAAUGGCGGAGAAAAUGGAAUUCCAUAUGUAGCGGUGAAAUGCGUAGAUAUAUGGAAGAACACCUGUGGCGAAAGCGGUUUUCUAGCCUUCUCCUGACGCUGAGGCACGAAAGCAAGGGGAGCAAACAGG
rnacentral:rRNA from 1 species